CGUUCAACUCUCCUGAGCUAGAACCCUAGCUUUUGUUGCGGAUCGGCCAUGGAUUCAACUAUGGAAUCAGGGUUUUCCUUUAUUUUGACAAAUUUUUCUUCUCCUAUUCAAAGGAUUUUUCUGUAUUCCUCUUUCCGAGAUUAAGGUUACGCGAAAUCCAUUUGGAUUGAUUUGUUGGAUUUAUUCUCAACUUCAGUUGGAUUUGGAGAAAAGCAAGGAUGGAUUGCUUGAAUGCAAAACGUUUGUGUUCUUCUUUUUGUUCUACAUAUUUGAAUGUUACCAUGGGAUCCUUUUAGUAUCUGAUUGGUUUGAUGUGCUUGUUUGUUGUAUAUUGACUCUUUUGGUUGUGUUUUUUUUUUUUUCGUUUUGGUAACAAGGUACUCCUUGCAUUACGGAUUGCUUCAUGGCAGAGAAGGAGAAGUUAGGUCAGAAGUAAUGAGUAGCUUUGAGGAUUGGAAAGGAUCCUUGGUUUGAGAGACUCCCAUGUACCCACAAAGGAACUUAUGCCGAUGAUUUUAUGGUUGAUAGAGUUACGUAAUCUGAUAUCAAAGAAGACGUUAAUAGUGGAUAUACUGAUCUGUACUAUUUUCAUGAGAUAGAGAUUUGAAGUGGAGAAUUCGCAAGGUUUCUGCCUUUCCAAUCAUGUACAUCACUAGCCAUAAGUUUGAAGUACUCGAUUGAGGGACUACCUAAAGCAACCCUUGGUGGAGCUCCAUGAUAUGGAGAUGAUCAUAUACAAGAUAGAACAACUUCUACUGGGGUUUCUGAAACUCAAUAUUUUGCGAGCGCAAAUGUUGAUAGUGCAAAGCCACCAAAUGAUGACAAUUAUGACUGCAUGAUUGAAGAAAUCAUUGGCAAGUGAGAUGUUAUGCGAUAGAGAUGAUGGAGCACGUGGAAAAGCUCAUGUUUCAAAGGGUGAGAUGAUUCAGCAACCAAAAGAUUAUGUAACUCCUGUAGGAGAGCUUGCAAUUAGAGUGGCAAGGUUAUAACAGAUUGAAUUCAGUUUUAGCAAGAAUUCAUGUUGCGAUUUGUUUUCAGAGAUUCGAUGUUCUUGAAUGUUAUUUUGGGUAAUUGAUAUAAAUUUAGUUUCACACUGUUUCCUUUAA